UACGUAGGGUGCGAGCGUUGUCCGGAAUUAUUGGGCGUAAAGAGCUCGUAGGCGGUGUGUCACGUCGUUCGUGAAAACCUGCAGCUUAACUGUGGGCGUGCGGUCGAUACGGGCAUCACUGGAGUUCGGCAGGGGAGACUGGAAUCCUGGUGUAGCGGUGAAAUGCGCAGAUAUCAGGAGGAACACCGGUGGCGAAGGCGGGUCUCUGGGCCGAUACUGACGCUGAGGAGCGAAAGCCAGGGGAGCAAACGGG
rnacentral:rRNA from 1 species